UCUCCGUUGGUGAACCAGCGGAGGGAUCAUUACAGAGUUGCAAAACUCCCAAACCAUUGUGAACGUUACCUAUCCCGUUGCUUCGGCGGGCGGCCCGGGCCCCGCGCCCGGCGCCCCCCGGCCCCCCGUGGGCGCCCGCCGGAGGUAAACCAAACCUUGAAUUGCAUGGCCUCUCUGAGUCUUCUGUACUGAAUAAGUCAAAACUUUCAACAACGGAUCUCUUGGUUCUG
rnacentral:misc_RNA from 1 species